rnacentral:rRNA from 1 species
ACGUUAGCGGCGGACGGGUGAGUAACACGUGGGUAACCUACCUAUAAGACUGGGAUAACUUCGGGAAACCGGAGCUAAUACCGGAUAAUAUUUCGAGCCGCAUGGUUCGAUAGUGAAAGAUGGUUUUGCUAUCACUUAUAGAUGGACCCGCGCCGUAUUAGCUAGUUGGUAAGGUAACGGCUUACCAAGGCGACGAUACGUAGCCGACCUGAGAGGGUGAUCGGACCACACUGGAACUGAGACACGGGUCCAGACUCCUACGGGAGGCAGCAGCC